rnacentral:rRNA from 1 species
CCUGGCGGCACUAGCGCGGUGGUCCCACCUGACCCAUGCCGAACUCAGAAGUGAAACGCCGUAGCGCCGAUGGUAGUGUGGGGUCUCCCCAUGUGAGAGUAGGGAACUGCCAGGC